AGUGAACGCUGGCGGUAGGCCUAACACAUGCAAGUCGAACGGCAGCACAGUAAGAGCUUGCUCUUACUGGUGGCGAGUGGCGGACGGGUGAGGAAUACAUCGGAAUCUACUUUUUCGUGGGGGAUAACGUAGGGAAACUUACGCUAAUACCGCAUACGACCUACGGGUGAAAGCAGGGGAUCUUCGGACCUUGCGCGAUUGAAUGAGCCGAUGUCGGAUUAGCUAGUUGGCGGGGUAAAGGCCCACCAAGGCGACGAUCCGUAGCUGGUCUGAGAGGAUGAUCAGCCACACUGGAACUGAGACACGGUCCAGACUCCUACGGGAGGCAGCAGUGGGGAAUAUUGGACAAUGGGCGCAAGCCUGAUCCAGCCAUACCGCGUGGGUGAAGAAGGCCUUCGGGUUGUAAAGCCCUUUUGUUGGGAAAGAAAAGCAGCAGGUUAAUACCCCGCUGUUCUGACGGUACCCAAAGAAUAAGCACCGGCUAACUUCGU
rnacentral:rRNA from 1 species